rnacentral:rRNA from 1 species
AUACGUAGGGGGCGAGCGUUGUCCGGAAUGAUUGGGCGUAAAGGGCGCGUAGGCGGCCCGGUAAGUCUGGAGUGAAAGUCCUGUUUUUAAGAUGGGAAUUGCUUUGGAUACUGUCGGGCUUGAGUGCAGGAGAGGUAAGUGGAAUUCCCAGUGUAGCGGUGAAAUGCGUAGAGAUUGGGAGGAACACCAGUGGCGAAGGCGACUUACUGGACUGUAACUGACGCUGAGGCGCGAAAGUGUGGGGAGCAAACAGGAUUAGAUACCCUGGUAGUCCACGCUGUAAACGAUGAUGACUAGGUGUGGGGGGACUGAACCCUUCCGUGCCGCAGUUAACACAAUAAGUCAUCCACCUGGGGAGUUCGGCCGCAAGGUUGAAACUCAAAGGAAUUGACGGGG